rnacentral:rRNA from 1 species
ACUCCUACGGGAGGCAGCAGUGGGGAAUCUUGGACAAUGGGCGCAAGCCUGAUCCAGCCAUGCCGCGUGAGUGAUGAAGGCCCUAGGGUCGUAAAGCUCUUUCGCCAGGGAUGAUAAUGACAGUACCUGGUAAAGAAACCCCGGCUAACUCCGUGCCAGCAGCCGCGGUAAUACGGAGGGGUUAGCGUUGUUCGGAAUUACUGGGGCGUAAAGCGCGCGUAGGCGGACUGGAAAGUUGGGGGUGAAAUCCCGGGGCUCAACCCCGGAACUGCCUCCAAAACUCCCAGUCUUGAGUUCGAGAGAGGUGAGUGGAAUUCCGAGUGUAGAGGUGAAAUUCGUAGAUAUUCGGAGGAACACCAGUGGCGAAGGCGGCUCACUGGCUCGAUACUGACGCUGAGGUGCGAAAGUGUGGGGAGCAAACAGGAUUAGAUACCCUGGUAGGAUAGCG